CAGUCGCCGCGGGAAUACGGAGGGUGCAAGCGUUAAUCGGAAUUACUGGGCGUAAAGCGCACGCAGGCGGUUUGUUAAGUCAGAUGUGAAAUCCCCGAGCUUAACUUGGGAACUGCAUUUGUGACUGUAUAGCUAGAGUACGGUAGAGGGGGAUGGAAUUCCGCGUGUAGCAGUGAAAUGCGUAGAUGUGCGGAGGAACACCGAUGGCGAGGGCGAUCCCCUGGACCUGUACUGACGCUCAUGCACGAAAGCGUGGAGAGCAAACAGGAUUAGAUACCCCCGUAGUCCCUGUCUCUUAUAC
rnacentral:rRNA from 1 species